GUUUUAAUAGUUUACAAAAAACUUUGGUCUUGUAAACCAACAAUGAAUCAGUUUAUUCUUAAAACU
rnacentral:tRNA from 1 species